rnacentral:rRNA from 1 species
AUGCGGGUACUCGUUUAUGGCAUACCCGCGGAUUAUACCGACGAGUAUCUUCGCAUUGGGCAAGAUACAACCACGGAGUCCGUCCGUAGGUUUGCCAAGUUGGUCAUCCGGUUGUAUGGUGAGCAGUAUCUUUGGGCACCAAACGAGGAAGAUACAAAGAGAUUAAUGGAAAUGAAUGAAAAAAGGGGAUGGCCGGGGAUGCUUGGUAGUCUUGAUUGCGUGCAUUGGAGGUGGAAAAUUUUCCCAAAGGCAUGGCACGGAAUGUAUUGCGGUAAAAGCCGUGAUGCUACCAUUGUGCUUGAGGCCGUAGCAUCGGAGGACACAUGGAUUUGGCAUGCAUUCUUUGGGUUGCCGGGAACACUCAAUGAUAUCAAUGUCCUCAAUAGAUCUCCUUUGUUCAAAAGAUUAAUUUCUGGGGAUGCUCCAGCUUGCAACUACAAAAUCAUGGACAAUGAGUACUCAAUGGGAUACUAUCUCACCGAUGGCAUCUAUCCCGAAUGGGAAACUCUUGUGAAGUCCAUCAAGGAGAAAAAUGGGGUGCCCUUAACAAGAAAAGAGGCUCAUUUUGAAGGAAAUAUGCCCUAG